rnacentral:rRNA from 1 species
UUGAAAGGGAAACGAUUGAAGUCAGUCGUACCUGCGGGUAAUCAGCCUUUUGGGUGUGAUUAUGUGGAGCGUGAGGAGCUAAUCGCCUUCAUCUUUGCAUAUUCGUGCACUUUGGGUGUACUUGCUCGUGUGGUAGGUUAACAUCAAUUUUGAUCAUCAUAAAAUGAUUGAAGGAAUGUAGCUUCGAUCUCGUAUUGAAGUGUUAUAGCCUUUGGUAGAUGUGAUGAUCGGGAUUGAGGAUUGCAACGGAUACCCUUCGGGGCUACCCGUCUGAUCUCUGAAAGUUGCUCUGGUGCUGAAAGCUUGCUUAUGGUAUCAAAGUUGACGUUCAAUAGGUUAGAACGGGAUAAAUUCGUUAAGGAUGUUGACGUA